UAGAUCUAAAACGGCGAACCCAGUAUCCCUAACCAUCAACUCUUCAACAAUGCGAUUCAAAUCUCAAACGCCGAAACCAAAAAAGGGAGGGAACUCCUUAAUCUGCAAGGCGGCAAAACUUAACCAGAAACCUCUCUCUCUCACCAAGAGUUAAGGACUACAGACGUCGCGCGGAAAUAUAAUCGGAAGAGUCUCAUGCGGCAGUCGCUUCGAAUCUACCGUCUGCUUCCAAUUCAUCGCCGGGAGACCUCCGGCUGGAUUCCGUGCUAUCAAACGGUACUAGUGCAUGGAGCUUAAAUGAGAAAAUCAUUCAAUAUCCAGGCAUACCUCUCCAGAAGCAGUACUGGAUUCCCUCUGUGGACAGACCUGAUGAGCAAAAACAAUGCUAGGGUGUCUUGGGAUAUUUAUGAGAUCCUCAGAUAAUCAUGCCACACCUUUCCAAAAGUGAUCAUUUGAUAAUGUAGUUCAUAUCUGUAAUGAGAUAGAGCAUGGAAAGUCAGUGAAGG